CCGAACAGCUGAUCUGCGGUGUUCUACAGUGCUGCACUUAUGUAUCUGGCAGAGCGUAGAUAUUUUGGCAGAUGGAGUUCAGCAGGGACAUCUUGUUAAGGUACGCAAAUCACAAGACCCAUUCUGGCUGGACCCUUAUCUGGACUCCGCUCCUCCCCCAUAUGCUCCAGUCCACCCUGAUCCUGAAGGAGAAGCAGCGCAGGCAGGAGACCCGGCUGCUGAUUGAAGCUCACCCGCUCCACCGCCACCUGUCCCAAGCAGCUGCCAAAGACAGAGCCUCUACACGAAAAUAGAAGAAAGCUUGAAACAGAGCUUUGCAGCGUACAACUUUUGGUCCCCUCCUCCCCGUGACCCAGUCGUGGAAAUGCUGAUGAU